ACGCGUUCGAUAGUGACCCAACCACCUUCGAUAGCUGGCGUCUCACAUCGCUAAAAUAAUUUCAACAUUGAAAAAUGUUGUGUAAAAAUUGACGGCAAUGAAAAAGCUUAACAUAAUAAUGGAUAAAUAUGGAUCGCUUUUUAAAAAAAUGUUUAAUGUAUUCUACAUAAGUAUUUUGAUUACACGUCGGAGGGCCGCAACGCCCAAGUCCAGAAUAGGAAGACUGCGAUUGCACUGCGAUCUGAAGCAAGAUUGCGAUCAAAUAACAAAGUCGGAAACGCACGAGUGGAUGCUAUCCUUAUUAAAUGGCAAUAUCUGGAGAGGGCAAUUGCCAGUCAAGAUGUAGACCCACUGUUAUGGAUAAAGGUGAAUCAAACUAAUUUUCUCUGCAUAAAUAGGCCUGUUUUGCAAAUACCUUUGCCUUCCUGUACAUCCGUAGAAUCGGAAAGAGCGUUCAGCAAGACAGGGCAAAUUGUUUCUGAGAGACGCACCCG